rfam:Neurospora tetrasperma FGSC 2509 unplaced genomic scaffold NETTE2scaffold_187, whole genome shotgun sequence.
AUAGGUGUGCUGGAAUUGGUAGACAGGUUCCGUUUAGGCCGGAAUGGUUUAAAAACUGUACAAGUUCAAGUCUUGUCAUCUAUA